ACCAACUUGAUUCUUUUGAGGUUUGUUUUUAGCACAGGUCUGCAGUAGCCUCAGUCUAGCCCUAAUACUUCUGGGGUCUUUUCUGAAUGCCCUGCUUGUUCUGAGAUUUCUACACCACAAUUGGACUGGGGAAGUGUUAGAGGAAGAUUACGACACUGCUACUCCAUGCCAAAACGUUACACUACGGCUCUGCAGACUGAAGAUUGCCUCACAAGCAGAAAUAUACUCUUUCCAACAAACACUGGUGGAAUGAAAAGGACAUUGGAUUCCUGCUUCCAGUUACUGCUUGCCCUUCCCUGACUUUGUGACCUGAGGUGAUUGCAUCCUUUGAAAGCCUGUUUGCAUAGCAGACAAUGAAGCUGAGCAGAGAAAAACAAGAUGAGAGACAGAUGGAGUAGGAGACCUGAGAAGAUGGCUUGAGUCCAUGAAUUCUGGUGUUCCCUAGGCCACAUUUGCCCCCAUCCUUCCCAGAUUUUACUUUCUACUCUUGUCAGUCAUAUCUGCAAGGCUGACAGUUACCAGGGGCUGUGGCCAGGCAUGAGGGAGAAUGUGUCAUUGCUGGCUGCGUUGGUCAUAGCAACGUGUCUGCCUCAGAACAGAUCCAGCAUGGAUGAGCAAACAGAAAAAUGUGUAAGAAGGCUUGUGACUGAAACAGACCAAGGGUGAGAGAACCUUUGUGGGAGCGCAGAAGUCCAGCAGAGAGACCCUAGCACUUUAUUUGGACCAAAAAAUAAAUAAUAAAUAAAUAAAUAAAUAAAUCCAAAACUAGAUGCAUUAAAGAAGGUAAGAACAGUUUUACUUUACCUGUGUCACCCCUCCCCCAGUGUGGCACAGAUCAGUGCCAAGAGAGACCGCUUCAGCCCAGUUUCUUCCACAGGGGAAAAUGAGAACAGUGAGUGCCUAAUUUCCUCAGCUGUAGGAUGCUGUAGAAGAGACCCACUUCUGCCUCACCCAUUUGAGAACCCUGAGGGAAUCAGUAUGGCUGAAUAAUCUGGGGGUAGCUAGGAGCAGGGAAAAGGGGCAGCACUCACAGCAACCUGAGUAUGGAAUUCAGCAAAGAGCCACAGUUUCUAUUAACUACCUCCCAAAUUCCAUCAAGAGGGCCAGCCACAAACUACAUAGGAUGCAUAAUCUGCAGAUCCCCUGACUAGCCCAUGUGUGCUUCCAACCUUCUGCAUGCCCUUCCCCCAUGUAGCUGGCACCCUGAAUGCACCCCCAUGGAUAGCAUGUACAAGCUUCUGCAGAUUGUGCAUGAGAACAUGAAGAUAACUAACUUGAUUCAGGAUUGGAAGGAAGUGACUAAUCUUGAAUUUUUCAAGGCACUUCCUAGGGAAGAUAAACAGGAGGCUUACAUUGCACCUGGCCUGACUUUUGCAAGAUCAAGAGAAGGAAUAUGCUGUAAUUUGAAUGAAAAUUUAACAUUUAAAAUUUAUGUUGAAGCUGAAUACUCAAUGCAAUAGUACUAAGAAGUCUAACCUUUGGGAGGUGAUUAAGUCAUGAUGACUCUUCUCACUUGAAUGGGAUGAGCACUCAUAAAAGAUGUCAAGGUUUAUGGGAGUUCUCUUUUGCCCUUCCAUCCCUUCUGCCAGGUUAGACUUCUCCUAUGGAGAAUGCAGCAAGAAAAUACCAUCUUGAAGCAGAGAGCAGCGCUCAUCAGGCAUCAGUCCUUCUGGAGCCUUGAUCUUGGACCUCCCAGCUCCAAAAUAAUAAGUAAUAAAUUGUUAUUGCUUAUAAAUUA
rnacentral:lncRNA from 1 species